rnacentral:rRNA from 1 species
GACAGAGGGUGCAAACGUUGUUCGGAAUUACUGGGCGUAAAGCGCGUGUAGGCGGCCAUCUAAGUCGGGCGUGAAAUCCCACGGCUCAACCGUGGAAGUGCACUCGAAACUGGAUGGCUAGAGUCCUGGAGAGGAAGGUGGAAUGCUUGGUGUAGAGGUGAAAUUCGUAGAUAUCAAGCGGAACACCAGCGGCGAAGGCGGCAUCCUGGCCCUGACCUGACGCUGAGGCGCGAGAGCGUGGGGAGCGAACAGG